CGUCAGGAGCCGCGGAGUGUGGGCUUGUGGACCCGGUCAGGACGGAAACGUAGCAGCCGCAGCUUGUCCCUCAUUGCCGUGGCUUCCUGGCAUUU
rfam:Verrucomicrobiaceae bacterium TMED137 5253, whole genome shotgun sequence.